UUCUCUCUUCCAAACUCCAUCUCUCGAUGCUUCCCUAAUCUGGUUCGCUCAGCUCAUCAUGCCAUGCUUGGGUCUCUGCAUAAUCAGGAACGCCCAUUUCCAGGUAAAAUUCCUCUCCUCUUCUUAGCGUCUCUGUUGCAAGGAUAUGUGCAAGGUUGUUUGCAGAUCUUGUUGUGUGAAGAAAUCUGAUAUUUUUUACUUCUAGUAUUUUCUGUUGUAUAUCAUAAAUAUAUGCCCCUACCAUUGAUCUGUCAUGAUCCUUUUUGUUGCAUUUCUUGAUUAUUACGAGGGAAUCUCCUUCAAAAAUGAGUGCCUGCCAACCAUGGUCAACUCCUACUUGGACUGCUUUCCGACAGGCAAUUGCUUUAGCAGCAAAAGCAGAUGGAACUCCAUUGUGGAUUUCUGAGCAGGAUAAAAGAAUUUUUCCUUCCGAGUCUCUGGCCACAACACCUGAGGCUGACCGGUUCUGAAUCUGAUUAUAUGCACUAUCAAAAUUAAUCUUUAUGGAUUCCCACUGUGGGUGUGUCCAUCUCUCAUUUCCUUUCAUUAUUUCUGAGUUUCUUUGUUCAAGAUCAGUUAACUCAAUGAUGUAAUUACUAACAAAGUUUGCAACUUCUAUUCCAUUACUAACUUUGCCUUCAUGUAUGUUUCUUUUUCUGUCUCCCCAUAUGGCCUAUAGUGCACAGCAAAAGAGUCGACUUUGAUUUGGGUUUAACUGCUCUAGCGCCCAGGUGAGCCAUUGUACAAAAUCUUCGCUUUGAUACAUCAUAAUGUUCUGAAAUGAUAACAUUUUCCAUACCUCUCUUGUAACAGCACAGUCACGGAAUAAGUGAUUCAUCGUUUCAGCUCCUUCUCCACAUCGGGGACACCUUGUGUUGACUGCUAAUUUUCGGUGUUGUAGAUUUACCUUUGUAGGCAGAUAGUUCCAUGAUAGCCGCCACAUUGUGAUAUUUAUUUUUGUUGGUAUAUUCAGGCUCCAAAGUGUUUUGUAAAAUUUUCUGUAGAGGUUUUGUAAAGCAUAAGCUCUAGGAUUAUCAGUCGAUCUCUGUAAUAGUUGAUAGGCACUUCGUACCGUGAAUUCACCCGACUUCUCCCUUCCCCAAAUAAGAAAAUCUUCAUGCGGUGAUUGUGCCAGCGGGAUCCUAAGGAUUCUUUCAGCAUCUGCUUCAGUGAAGGUAUUGUUAAUCAACUCUGCAUUCCAGCUUCUACUAUUACUGUCGAUUAACUCCUUUACUUUAGAAACGCGCAUAGAAUUAACUCCUGACGACAAUUUAAAAUUAUCAGAAUCUGGAAUCCAAGCAUCAGUAAUGGAUAUACUAGAACCCGUUCCCACCUUCCAACAGUGCCCUAUUAUCAAUAAGGCUUUGGCUGCCCAAACACUUUUCCACACAUAAGAACAAGAGUUUCCUAACUGGGAGUUUAAAAAAUCAUUUUCUGGGAAGUAUUUGGCUUUAAAAACUUGCGCAACAAGAGAACCCUGAUUAUUCAUAAUCUGCCAUCCUUGUUUAGCCAAUAAUGAGAUAUUGAAUUGCGCCAUAUUUCGGAAACCCAUACCUCCCUCCUCUUUAGGCUUACACAUAUAUUCCCAUUGGCACCAAUGUAUCCCUUUUUUGCCUUUUCCUUUCUGCCACCAGAAUCUGGCAAACAGUUUUUCUAUCUCCUCACAGAAAGAUUUUGGUAGCAAAAAACAUGUCAUCGCAUAAAUAGGGAUUGCUUGAAGUACUGCUUUAAUGAAAACUUCUUUGCCUCAUUGAGAUAAGAAACGUGUACUCCAAUUAUCU
rnacentral:lncRNA from 1 species